UCCUACGGGGGGCAGCAGUGGGGAAUAUUGGACAAUGGGGGAAACCCUGAUCCAGCGACGCCGCGUGUGUGAAGAAGGCCUGCGGGUUGUAAAGCACUUUUAGUGGGGAUGAAAAGUGCAGAGCUAAUAUCUCUGCAUCUUGACCUAACCCAAAGAAAAAGCACCGGCUAACUCUGUGCCAGCAGCCGCGGUAAUACAGAGGGUGCGAGCGUUAAUCGGAAUUACUGGGCGUAAAGCGUGCGUAGACGGUAGCGUAAGUCAGAUGUGAAAGCCCCGGGCUCAACCUGGGAACUGCAUUUGAGACUGCUCUGCUCGGGUGCGGAAGAGGGAAGCGGAAUUUCCGGUGUAGCGGUGAAAUGCGUAGAUAUCGGAAGGAACACCAGUGGCGAAAGCGGCUUCCUGGUCCGACACCGACGUUCAGGCACGAAAGCGUGGGGAGCAAACAGGAUUAGAUACCCCGGUAGG
rnacentral:rRNA from 1 species